rnacentral:rRNA from 1 species
CGAACGCUGGCGGCGUGCUUAACACAUGCAAGUCGAACGGAAAGGCCCUGCUUUUGUGGGGUGCUCGAGUGGCGAACGGGUGAGUAACACGUGAGUAACCUGCCCUUGACUUUGGGAUAACUUCAGGAAACUGGGGCUAAUACCGGAUAGGAGCUCCUGCUGCAUGGUGGGGGUUGGAAAGUUUCGGCGGUUGGGGAUGGACUCGCGGCUUAUCAGCUUGUUGGUGGGGUAGUGGCUUACCAAGGCUUUGACGGGUAGCCGGCCUGAGAGGGUGACCGGCCACAUUGGGACUGAGAUACGGCCCAGACUCCUACGGGAGGCAGCAGUGGGGAAUAUUGCACAAUGGGCGGAAGCCUGAUGCAGCAACGCCGCGUGCGGGAUGACGGCCUUCGGGUUGUAAACCGCUUUCGCCUGUGACGAAGCGUGAGUGACGGUAAUGGGUAAAGAAGCACCGGCUAACUACGUGCCAGCAGCCGCGGUGAUACGUAGGGUGCGAGCGUUGUCCGGAUUUAUUGGGCGUAAAGGGCUCGUAGGUGGUUGAUCGCGUCGGAAGUGUAAUCUUGGGGCUUAACCCUGAGCGUGCUUUCGAUACGGGUUGACUUGAGGAAGGUAGGGGAGAAUGGAAUUCCUGGUGGAGCGGUGGAAUGCGCAGAUAUCAGGAGGAACACCCAGUGGCGAGGGCGGUUCUCUGGGCCUUUCCUGACGCUGAGGAGCCGAAAGCGUGGGGAGCGAACAGGCUUAGAUACCCUGGUAGUCCACGCUGUAAACGGUGGGUACUAGGUGUGGGGUCCAUUCCACGGGUUCCGUGCCGUAGCUAACGCUUUAAGUACCCCGCCUGGGGAGUACGGCCGCAAGGCUAAAACUCAAAGGAAUUGACGGGGCCCCGCACAAGCGGCGGAGCAUGCGGAUUAAUUCGAUGCAACGCGUAGAACCUUACCUGGGUUUGACAUGGAUCGGGAGUGCUCAGAGAUGGGUGUGCCUCUUUUGGGGUCGGUUCACAGGUGGUGCAUGGCUGUCGUCAGCUCGUGUCGUGAGAUGUUGGGUUAAGUCCCGCAACGAGCGCAACCCUUGUUCACUGUUGCCAGCACGUUAUGGUGGGGACUCAGUGGAGACCGCCGGGGUCAACUCGGAGGAAGGUGGGGAUGACGUCAAGUCAUCAUGCCCCUUAUGUCCAGGGCUUCACGCAUGCUACAAUGGCUGGUACAGAGAGUGGCGAGCCUGUGAGGGUGAGCGAAUCUCGGAAAGCCGGUCUCAGUUCGGAUUGGGGUCUGCAACUCGACCUCAUGAAGUCGGAGUCGCUAGUAAUCGCAGAUCAGCAACGCUGCGGUGAAUACGUUCCCGGGGCUUGUACACACCGCCCGUCAAGUCAUGAAAGUUGGUAACACCCGAAGCCGGUGGCCUAACCGUUGUGGGGGAGCCGUCGAAGGUGGGACUGG